AUUCAAAUUUACGUCAACGUCCGUUACGUUGGUGACGUCACCGCGAGCGCGAGAAGUCGAACUGAGGAGCAGAAAGCGGUGUUAGUGUUAGUUCUGGCCCGUUUGGACCCAAACUAAAGUGUAUCAGUAUGAAGCAGGCGGUGACGGCGCAGUGGUUCACUCUCGGAACUCGGUUCACUAAUGACCGAAUCACCGAGGAACCGACCAAAGAUAACUCACACCCGCACGGAGAAGAAGAACAAGAGGAGGAGAAGAUGAGCUGGAGUGGGGCAAAGAGAACUGCAUUCAGAUCAAACGGAUACAAGAGAGGUGGCCGAGUUGUUUGAGGAUCUGAAGAAUCGAGUGUCACAAUUCAACAUGCACAUCAGCGAAACUUUUCCCUCUGACUACACCAGCGCGCACGCACAGAAAUUCAUAGUGCAGGUGGCGAUUGCAGGCGCAUUUUAUCCGAACUGCUUCCUCCAGGGAACUGUGGACGAGGAGCUCGCCUCCAAGGAACUCUAUGGAAACGACCCCAGGACCACCGUAGUGGUGUGUAAUCUCCCUCCAUUUGCAUUCCUCUACUAUAAACAGCUCCAGUCUCUCUUCAGACACUGUGGUUAAAUCAAAUCCAUCUCCUUUGACAGCUCCAGGGCCUAUGUAGAGUUCUACCGCUCGUCAAUGAGAGGUUCUGGCGUUCUCCCAGAGGUCUCUCUGUCUCUCCUCCUCACGCAGCAGAGACUUCCUCUCCAUCUCAACAUUUAACCCGCUGGAGAGGUGGAGACUUGGGCAGGGGGGUAGUGUAUCUCACACCUCAGAUAUACACGGGUGAAUGUGGAUUUUCAGAAUCAGUCAGUGAGCCCUGUCAGGGUUCUGAGCAGCUCCAUUGAGUUGGAGAAUCUUCCUUCUAACCCUGUCUUUAUCGUCAGUAUCACCGAGGUGUCUGUUCCGCCUCUCACUUUCAGUGCACAAAUAAAAAAGAAGCAGUGUGUGUGUGCGUGCGUGUGUGUGUGUGUGUGUGUGUGUGUGUGUGUGUGUGUGUGUGUGUGUGUGUGUGUGUGUGUGUGCGCGCACUAACAGGAGGUCCAGGUGCAGCCUUUGGAUAUUGAUGAAGAUUUACUGCCCCUGCAAGACCUUCCUCGACUGCGUAGUCUGGAGCAAAGGAUGCAACAGAGCCCAGAUUACAAGCAAAAUCUGGUAAACUGGUUGGCGCUUAUUGACGGGGUGUAUGUGCGUGACUGCACCUGGCGCAUAUUGAAGAGGGUGAUUGCUAACUCCCUGGCAAAGAAUCUCAAUUGGAGGGGAGUCAAUGGAAAGACUUCACUGUCCGCUCUCCAACUCGGAGAGGUCGUGAUUGCUGCAGUUCAUAGAAACCUCCUCACGGCUAAAGCUGCAGAGAUGGAGGUCGAGGGGACCAUGAAGAGGCGGCUCCAGCUGGCAUCAGAGCGAGAGUGGCCUAAACAUGGCUGAAAACUCCCAAAACUCGGUAGACGCGCCAGCACCAGUGAAAAUGUAACUUACAUUGGGCAUGGGCAUGGUCGAGGAGCUCCUUAGCACCCCUGAAUGCAGGCAAAGGUCGGGAUGAAGUUGCUCCGAUGUGCACGAUUUACCAUAUAUAUAUAUAUAUAUAUAUAUAAAAAUUAGAUAGAUAUGGGGUAAUAAAGUGUAAAAUAUAGAUAAUUCACAAUAAUUUAAUAUCAGAUAUCAGUUAGAUUCAGCUUCGGACACAAGUUCCAGGUACUGAUCGAGAAUGAGUGGAUCAGCUUCGGACACAAGCUGGCCUCGCGUGUCGGCCUUGGAGAUGAGAAUCACGCCAACUCGGAACGAUCCCCUCUCUUUGUGCAGUUCAUCGACUGUGUGUGGCAGAUGAUGAGACAGUUUCCUUCUGCUUCUGAGUUCAAAGAGCUUUUUCUCAUCCCCAUCCUGGAGCGCCCCUACAGCUGCCUGUUUGGUACAUUCCUCUACAGCAGUGAGCAGGAGAGAAUGGAAAAGGAAGUACAGGGUAGAACGGUCACUGUGGUCCUACAUUAACAGUCAGCCGGAGGACUUCACUAACCCCUUCUACGUGGACUGUAAAAACCAGGUGCUGUAUCCACUGGCCAGUCUCACACAUCUGGAGCUCUGGGUGGGUUAUUAUGUGCGUUGGAACCCACGCAUGAGACCACAGAUGCCGCUCCAUCAGAAUCUGAGAGAGUUAUUGUUUUUGCGUGAAGAACGUGGAGGAGCUCCAGAGAGAGGCCACGUCAUCCUGCUCCAUCUCCUCAUCCUCAGAGCAUACUUCUCCCUCCUCACAUAGUGAAAAAGUUUUGCAGUUCCUAUCCAAAAGACACCAAGAGCCCAGAUGUCCUUAGAAACUAAAUGUAACCUCCAACUUGUGGCCAUUUCAGAAACUCGAUUCCCAGACGAAUCGACUGAAACUCUCGAUAGGACGUGACACUGUUGGAGAGUUGCAUACGAGCGGACAUUCAACAAUAUUUAGUAGAAGCGCUGUGGAUGUUUUCGUCUGUGUUCGUCCGUAAUAUACUGGACUGUCCUACCAAGAGUUCGACCACAUACACAUUCAACUGAAGCUCAUACAGUCAGCAUACUGAACUCUCUUUUUGCCAUAGUGCGGCCGCUUAACAGGAUAAGGCCUCAGAAGUCAAGCACCAGCAGCUUGUGGCUAAAAAACUGCAGCAGAAUUGAGCUCGGCUAGGAGGUGACGGGUGACGGAAAAAAGCCGGGGAACCUCGGAAAGGAAAACAGGGCUGUGUUCCAAAUCUUUUAUCGCCUCCUCUUCAAACUCCAAAAACCUCUGGGCCCUACAGCUAAAUCCAAAGCUGAGGAAAACAACCAUUCUACUAAGAAGGCCUUCUCAAAUACAACGUUUGAGCGAAGGGAGGAAAUGAUCAAACACAGAUCAAUUGGAACACAGCCCAUACAGCAAAACCGUAAAAAGGUGCCAUAGAGCGUAAAUGAUUCAAAAAGACACAAAUCUAAGCCCAGUACAACCAGUUGAACAUGAAUAACACGCAAAGCACAUUUCACAAGCAUGAUAUCUUUCAAAAAUGUCCAAAAGUACAAAUUCCCUAAUAAAGGAAAAAGACAUGUUUGUGCUAACAUGUAAGACUUGAGUUUCCACAUCUUCCAAACAAGUACACUUCAGCGUCUUCCUUACUGUAAGCUCGGCUCUGAAAAUCUGCUACCACUAUUGUACCAGUAAACACACACACACAGACAGAGCAAGUUAGCAAAGAUCGGUCAACAAGGUUUCUUCAACACAACCACCUUUUUAUACACGUAUGCUCACUUCAUAUUGUCAGUCCCUUUUUAAAAGUGAAUUAAACCAUGAGCAGCUAUCUUCUCAAAAGUCCGGUCAAUUUCAGAGCACAAAAAAACUGCCUAUAUACACAACAAUUCAGUCCCACGGCUCUGAAAGAAAUGCAGAGCACAAAUGUACAAAUCACUGUGAUUUCUAUUUUUCUUACAUGUGAAAAGGAUGCUUGUAAAAAGAUGAUAAAUCUUCACUGGGAAUUACUUUAAGGUCAUCAACAAUUAAUUUAUAAAUCAGGGGAGCCUGGCUCUGGUCCUGAAUUCCUGUAAUCAUGCACAGUGUGAUGAUUUCUCAUCUAACACUCCUACCUAAUGACCCGAGGACUUAAAUCGGGUGUGAUUCAGGAAAAUUCCCAAACUGUACUGGACUGUAGUCUUACAGGACCACAGUAAGGCUUCCCCGCUCUAAAGCGUUUACUAUAGAAAUAUUUAUUUGAACAUGAUGUGGAUAAUCUAAUCACAGACUCUGGAUUAACGGUGCACACAGCGAUGCUUUCACACAAAAGUGUGAUGGACACUAAAAAGCUGGAGCAACACUAAUGCAUGAAUAAUUUGUCUCAGAGUUUGUACUUUCAGUUAGAAACACAUUAAACCUCUGCACAGUUUCCAACUUCAUAUGAAUAAUAUUGUAAACAGUCGUAUUAGUGAGAAUGAGGACAAACAGUUAAAUAUUCACAGAAAGUUUGACUUAGUCACAAAG